rnacentral:rRNA from 1 species
AUGAACGCUGGCGGCGUGCCUCAUCCAUGCCAGUCGAGCGAACGGACGAGAAGCUUGCUUUUCUGAUGUUAGCGGCGGACGGGUGAGUAACACGUGGAUAACCUACCUAUAAGACUGGGAUAACUUCGGGAAACCGGAGCUAAUACCGGAUAAUAUUUUGAACCGCAUGGUUCAAAAGUGAAAGACGGUCUUGCUGUCACUUAUAGAUGGAUCCGCGCUGCAUUAGCUAGUUGGUAAGGUAACGGCUUACCAAGGCAACGAUGCAUAGCCCACCUGAGAGGGUGUAGCGCCCAAGAGGAAGGGAACCACGGUCCAGCCCCCGAGGGGAGGCAAGAGGGGGGAACGUGCCGAAAGGGGGGAAAGCCUGAAGGACAAACGCAGGGGGGGUGAGGAAGGGUUGCGGAUGGUAAACCGUUGUUAUUGGGGAAAAAAAAAUGGGAAAGUAACGGUGCAACUUUGGAGGGAACCAAUGCAAAAAGCCCAGGCUAACUAGGG